AUUGAACGCUGGCGGCAGGCCUAACACAUGCAAGUCGAGCGGAUGACGGGAGCUUGCUCCUUGAUUCAGCGGCGGACGGGUGAGUAAUACCUAGGAAUCUGCCUGAUAGUGGGGGACAACGUUUCGAAAGGAACGCUAAUACCGCAUACGUCCUACGGGAGAAAGCAGGGGACCUUCGGGCCUCGCGCUAUCAGAUGAGCCUAGGUCGGAUUAGCUAGUUGGUGAGGUAAUGGCUCACCAAGGCGACGAUCCGUAACUGGUCUGAGAGGAUGAUCAGGCACACUGGAACUGAGACACGGUCCAGACUCCUACGGGAGGCAGCAGUGGGGAAUAUUGGACAAUGGGCGAAAGCCUGAUCCAGCCAUGCCGCGUGUGUGAAGAAGGUCUUCGGAUUGUAAAGCACUUUAAGUUGGGAGGAAGGGCAGUAAGCUAAUACCUUGCUGUUUUGACGUUACCGACAGAAUAAGCACCGGCUAACUCUGUGCCAGCAGCCGCAGUAAAAC
rnacentral:rRNA from 1 species